AACAGAUUGAUAAAAUAUAAGCAAAAAUCAAACAAAAAAUAAGCAAAACAUAAGUAAUAUAUUUUUUAAACUCAGAAAGAAUAAAUUUGCGGAUUCAAAGUUGACAUUCUAAACAAAUAGAAACACAAAUAUAUAAGGCCAUAAUUUUGUGUUUGGCAUAAGUUACUACAUUAAGCUAAUAAAUUAAUUUCAUAUCAAAAUAACUUAAUAAUCUACAUUGGUUUCUUAUAGAAUUCUGAAACUGAAGUUGUUGAACAAGCGGAGGUGGCAAAAACUGUGUUCCUUACCUCUAGGAACAGGCCUCGGUAUCCACCAAAGGAGGAAAUCGGAUUUCGAAAGCCGAGAGCCGUGUGGUGGAUUCUUGUGAUCGCUUUGGAAGUGAUCUUCAUUGUUGGCGCCGUUGUAGUGACGGCUUGUGCGGCAAGCAUCUCAAGUUUUCGGCGUAAGACCUUGUGGAGCUUUCCCAUAUGGGAAUUGGCACUGACAUGCGGGAUAACCGUAGCUUCGAGGCUCAUCGCUUGCUACUUGGUGAGGAUCAUCGGAGUGGUGAUAAGGUGGAUCUUCAGAUCCAUGCAGCUGACGGUUUAUGUUCUCCAUGGCCUUCAACACGCGGCAUGGGUGUGGAUGACUAUGGUGUUUAUCAUCACACCUUGGUUUAUUAUCCUCUCGAAUAAGGCGACAAAGGAGCAAAAGGUGGUGCUUCUCGUGUUGCUCCAGGUCAUCACGGCGGUUCUGAUAAUCUCCACCUUGUGGUUCACGAAGGCAAUCAUCACAACGUGUUGUUCAGCGUGGUUCCACUUGACGACCUAUCAAGAGCGGAUCGAGGAGUCUCUUUUCAGUUGGUACGUCAUCGAAGCACUUUCGGGUCAUCCUUGGAGCAAAAUACGUCAUCUGUUUGACCCAAAGAGGACAUCGGCUUGGGACAUGAAGAAGAUUAUCAUGGACCAAAAACACAUUGGCAUAGGCGUAAAGAUCCGGGAUGAAUCCGAGGCGGAGACUGCCGCAAAAACAAUAUUCUGAAAGUAGCCAAGCGAGAAUCCAAGUAAGAUUCUGCUUCAUGUCUUUGAUAUUUUUCCUUUUAGAAUAAAUACUCUCGGACCCAUUAUUAUAUAUGUA
rnacentral:sRNA from 1 species